rnacentral:lncRNA from 15 species
GCACCAGAUCAGUCUUUCCAUUUCUGUCACACGUGAGUGAAAACUGUGUAUCUCUGAAACGUGACAUGCAGGAAGGUGGAAAGAUGUCCUUGUAGUAGUAUUCUUUGUUUCCUCAUGCCUUUUGAAGUUUCUCGGGGCUUUGAGGGCAUUGAGUUACAGAUAGCAGACAGGGGUUGUUCAGUUUCAGAGAAAUGGUGUGACUUCAAACAUAACAAAACCUGAUAAGAUAGUAGAUCACUGUGUAUGUGGGUUCCUGCUGAAGUCUGCAUUAAAAGAAUUAAAGUCUGUCGGUUGUUUCCGGCUGUUUGGAUACAAAGUUCAAGAAAUGUUCUGUUUUGCCUGACUGGAAAAGACACAAAAGUAGAUCAAUUAAAAAUGCUAAACUAUUUGUAACUGGUUGAUUACUUUGGAAACAAAUAUUGGGAAAGUGUAAAGUGAUCAAUUAGAAGUAACUCAGUCAUCGAAACAGGGCACAAAGAAUGUGUGUAGUACCUGGACUACUUUUAAACACUUGAAUUCAUUGUGCAGAAAUGGGAAAUGAUUUUAUAUUUAAAACUAUUUAACAACUCCAACAACAGCAGGCCUGGAGAUGUUGUAACUCUAAAGACCCCACAGAACCAACCAGUUAUUUCACAAACUUCUCGACCAAUGAGGGCUUCAGAAGACUCCACAUCACACCCAGGGAGCACACAUCUGUGAGCCAGUCAGAGCUCUGAUAGAUCUCACAGGAAUAUUUGGAGGUUCAACUGCUUGGGGGGUACCUAGAGAGGACAUGGAAAGCAGUACCAGGCAUAAAAAACAGAAAGAGGGGUUGAGGAAUUAAGGAGAUAAAAAGAAAUUAAAAGAGCAAGGGAAAGUUAAGUCUAAUGAAAGAACAGGAACAAAGUAGUCAAAUUAAAAUGACAGUGUAUAUAAAGUUAUUAAAGAGGAUGAAGUUAAGCCAGAGGAAGGCGGCGUUGCUGGCCAUUACAGAGAACAUUGAGAUGGAGCUCUUCUCUUCAGAGGAGUACUGCGUGGUGAUAUCAACUCAGGAAGAGGAGGAAGAAUACAGCUUUUACCAGAGACACCCAGAGCACCGUCUGGUCCCUGACUAUGAGGAACCAGAGAUGCAUUUUCAGACCCAACCCAGGCAGCAGGUCAAGCCCAAAACGGAGCCUCCUGCUAAGGCAGAGACCAAGCACAGCCCCCCUGUCACAGGAUUCAUGGAGGAAAUUCAGAUAGAAAUGGAGGUGUUCCCUCCCCUCAGAGUGUCUGAGAGUGAGCCAGUAGCGAUAAAAUCAGGUGAUCCUUCCGUUACGAUGACCUCAGUACGUCAAUUCAAGUUUUAUUUUGUAAUUUCCUGA